rnacentral:rRNA from 1 species
UGGGGGAUAUUGCACAAUGGGCGAAAGCCUGAUGCAGCGACGCCGCGUGGGGGAUGAAUGCUUUCGGGUUGUAAACCUCUUUCGCUAUCGAACAAGGCCCGCUUAGGGUGGGUUGAGGGUAGGUGGAGAAGAAGCGCCGGCUAACUACGUGCCAGCAGCCGCGGUAAUACGUAGGGUGCGAGCGUUGUCCGGACUUAUUGGGCGUACAGGGCUUGUAGGCGGCUUGUUGCGCCUGCUGUGAAAACGCGGGGCUUAACUUCGCGCGUGCAGUGGGUACGGGCAGGCUUGAGUGUGGUAGGGGUGACUGGAAUUCCAGGUGUAGCGGUGGAAUGCGAAGAUAUCUGGAGGAACACCGAUGGCGAAGGCAGGUCACUGGGCCAUGACUGACGCGGCGGAGCGAAAGCAUGGGUAGCGAACAGG